CCCCGAGCAUUGGCUCUGAAUUAGCUGCUGAGUUCAGUCCAAGCUUUGACUUGUAAUGUAUAAUAUUACGAAAAUAUUGUCAUGAUCUGUCUAUCUCCUAGCAAUGUGUGGCUAAGCUAAUAAACCUUUUCUCUUACCACAGACCAUGUAGGCAGUUUGGUUAUAGGUUCAUUUUCCCACAGAAAGAAGGAAGUGCACUUUAAGUGUUUUUAUUUCAGAUCGUCAUUGUUCUGUGUGAUAUGGAUGUAUAUAUUUGUAUUAGUACCAGAACUGUUCUAUGGGAUCAUAUUUAUUCAAACAGUAAUAAACAGUGGGGCAAGCUUAACGAGGAAGGGGCUAGAUUCACAAAGUCUAGGUGGGCUGUGCAAUGAAUGGGACUCACAGAAACCAGCCUGUUAAGAUGCUCCUUGUACAAGGUAGCCUGUAGGUGGUACAAAGCCAUGGGGUUUGUGCUAAGCUCACCCCUCUCUGAGAUUGGCACCUCCCUCCUGUGAAGUACGUACACUGUUUUUGCAAGAAGAGGAGCAGGGUUGUUGAAGCUCCCAUACACUCAUUCACCAUUUACUCAUCAUGUAACAGCUUCUACAUUGGUCCAGCAAGAAGGAGUAAGCAAGUAUCUGAGAGAGGAGACUUGAACCACAGAUGAGUUAAAGGACCAUCUACCUUUUCCUGGUUUAUGCACUGUUCUGGGGCUUUGCCACUUUAGGUAACUAAAGCCUGUUACAUGCCUACAUCCUUUUGUGAAUCUAGCCCAAAAGGCAAACUAAAAGCUACUCUGAUAAGCAAAAGAUUAGACCAGCUGGGACCCUGGUCCUGCAAAGACUUACAUAGUGGGUCUAUUCACAAUGUGUACAGGGUAUAUAUGAGAUGCCUAUAUCAAUCACUGGAUUGUUUUAUAGUGCCUUUAAGUGUUAUUGGGGAGCUUUGUAAAAUGCUACAGUAUGAAUUUAAUCAUCUUCUGAACACAAGAAGGAUUUGUCUUGAUGUAAAAUCUAGUAUCAACUUGUAUUCUUAAUAAAGUGAUUUUUUUAAAGUGUU